AGCAGUGGGGAAUAUUGGACAAUGGGCGCAAGCCUGAUCCAGCAAUGCCGCGUGGAUGAAGAAGGUCUUCGGAUUGUAAAGUCCUUUCGGCGGGGACGAUGAUGACGGUACCCGCAGAAGAAGCCCCGGCUAACUUCGUGCCAGCAGCCGCGGUAAUACGAAGGGGGCUAGCGUUGCUCGGAAUGACUGGGCGUAAAGGGCGCGUAGGCGGAUUUGACAGUCGGGCGUGAAAUUCCUGGGCUUAACCUGGGGGCUGCGUUCGAGACGUUGGGUCUAGAGUUUGGCAGAGGGUCGUGGAAUUCCCAGUGUAGAGGUGAAAUUCGUGGAUAUUGGGAAGAACACCGGUGGCGAAAGCGGCGACCUGGUCCUUGACUGACGCUGAGG
rnacentral:rRNA from 1 species